UGACGCUCAGCUUCUGGCCAACCUUCAGCCAUGAAGAUCCUUUUCCUGCUGUUUGCUGUGGUCUUCUUGAUGCUCAUGGAUGCCCCAGGGUUCUCCUAGGCUCAGCUGACCUGAAAGGAAUGUGCGCACCAUGCAGCAUCCUGUUACCUUAGAGGAUGUCCUGCUAAAUCUCUAUACCUUGCAAGAUGCCAUCCUCAAGGUGUUUGCUGUCGAAAAUGGACUGAUUGUCCAGGCAGGAUCUCCGGGAAUCUGGGAGACAGCCACUUGCUUCUAAAAUCAUCAGAUCCUGUUUCAAUGGAACCCUGAAGUGGUGCUGUUCAUUUGGGCUUUAAAGAACCUUGUGAGCUGGAGAAAUGUAGAAGGGAGCUCUUUUAGCACCCCUAUAAGAUUUGUUACUCCCUUUUUAAUAAAAGCAAGCUGGUGUGAGAGAUUGGAAGAG